CCGACACCUUCUUCCCAGUGCGGCCCGGGCUGCGGCCCCGGGUCCGAGGAGGCCCGGGGAGACCCGGAGGAGGUGGAAACUGAGACCCAGAGAGCCGUGACUUGACUGAUCCCACAGCCAGGAAAUGGUGGAGCCUGGAUUUGAACCCCAGCUUUUAAGAAGAAGGUGCCACUGUCCUGGAAGAACUCUCAGGACAGCAUUAGUGUCUCAGGGAUCCCCCUAAUCGGAGGGGCCUUAAGGCAACCUAAUCAUGAUUGUCACUGAAGAUCCAGGAGGGCUUCCUGGAGGAGGAGGCAGCUCCAUUCUGAAAUGCCAAGGGUACAGCUUUAUUGGGACAGCCAGUGUCUCUGAAUAUGUAGGUUUUGCACAGAGCUUGUACUGCCCCAGGGCCUGUACACUGCCUGUCCCCUCUGCCUUGUGCACUCUUUCCCUAGAUGUCCAAAUGGCUCCUUUCCUCACCUACCCCAAAUCUCAAUUCCAGUGUUUCCCCAGCCUCCCCUCAUUUCAGUAAUCACUCUGCAGUGAGCUAGGAUUGCGCCACUGCACUCCAGCUUGGAUAAGAGAACAAGACCCUGUCUCUUAACUAAAUACAUAAAUAAAAAUAAUUCCCCUCUUCAUCCCUCUUUACCCUGUUUUGAUGGUUUUGUUCAACUUUUCACCAAUAGGACUUUCUCUUAUGCAUUUACUCGUUUCUCUUCCAAUCCCUCCC
rnacentral:lncRNA from 1 species